rnacentral:rRNA from 1 species
UACAGAGGGUGUAAGCGUUGUUCGGAAUUAUUGGGCGUAAAGGGCGCGUAGGCGGUGCCACAAGUCACCUGUGAAAUCUCCGGGCUUAACUCGGAGCCUGCAGGCGAAACUGUGGUGCUGGAGUGUGGGGAGAGGUGAGUGGAACUCCGAGUGUAGAGGUGAAAUUCGUAGAUAUUCGGAAGGAAACACCAGUGGCGAAGGCGACUCACUGG